UACGAAGGGGGCUAGCGUUGUUCGGAUUUACUGGGCGUAAAGCGCACGUAGGCGGAUCGAUCAGUCAGGGGUGAAAUCCCAGAGCUCAACUCUGGAACUGCCUUUGAUACUGUCGAUCUGGAGUAUGGAAGAGGUGAGUGGAAUUCCGAGUGUAGAGGUGAAAUUCGUAGAUAUUCGGAGGAACACCAGUGGCGAAGGCGGCUCACUGGUCCAUUACUGACGCUGAGGUGCGAAAGGUAGGGGAGCAAACAGG
rnacentral:rRNA from 1 species